ensembl:lncRNA
CUCCUCUCAGCCCUCCUGCGCUCGCACAGCCACCGCUCCUUGGACAUGAGGUUGCUCCUCUCGGCUGACGCCCCUGGCAUCGGGCAUGGGGUAGCUCCUCCUGGCCGCCACCCCUGACCUCGGGCAUGGGGUAGCUCCUCCCUGCCGCUCCUGCGCCAUCACAGCCUGGCACUCCUGGCCGCCGCCCCUGACCUCGGACGUGGGGUAGCUCCUCUCGGCUGCCGCCUCUGACCUUGGGCAACGGGUAGCCCCUCUGGGCCACACUUCUGCAUGGUCUGUGGCAGCUGGGUGCUUCUGCGCGGUCCGUCGCAGCUGGUACACUUCAUGUCCAAGGUGGAUGGAAAUGAGACCAAGAGAAAAAAAUAAGUGGCUUCAUAACCUCACUUUAUCCAGAGAGUGGAAAAUAAAAUGCAAGAUUCCAAUCCCUGCCCUUCCAUUUCAUCUUUGAAAAAUACAGGAAGAGGUGGGCUGUUUUGGCUUCCUACCAUGGAUAAGGAUCUUGAAGGAGGAACUUGGCAGACCUUCUCCAUUCCCUGGGGCUUCGGCAAGGCAGUAGAGGAGGAAGGAGCACACAUAUGCCAGUGAGUAAGAGUCCUCAAGUGCAAAUAGCAGGGGACUUAUUGUUUUCAGAGAUUAUCUCGUGUUUUUUGGUUGAACAAAUUUAUUUGCACAAGGGUUGAAAGCCAUGUGUCAGAAUUAUACAAGAAUGAUGCCUUUGAUAGAAAAGUAAUGAGAUGUUUCUGAGUUUUUGUCCAGGAAAUUCUAGUAUUUCAAAAGAAUAUUGCAGAUGAGGCGGGAAUAUCCUGUAAAAGAAAGGUACAAAACUCUACUCAACUCUGGUUAUUUCCAUAAGACUGAAUGUCCAAAGGCAUUUUGAGGAAAAAGAAACUGAUUUCAGCUGCUCGUCCUUAGAUAUGGUAUUAUAAUAGGCUAUAAUUCGGUAAACUUUGGACUGCUCUUUUUGAAAGGGAAAUUGGAUUAUGUUGUGUUUAUUUUCCUUUUUAAAAAGGUGUCUUCUCAGAGACAAAUGUAUCUGUCUGGAUGAAAAGUUUUGAAUUUUAAACAGAAAAUGCUAUGUUGGCUAUGCAAAUUGGUUUGUAUUUAAUCUCUAUGUUCUGUGGUCUUGAUAAAUAAGGUUUUCUCCUUUGAGAAAAACCACAAUUUUACAGCAAGUUCAGAUCAUUUCUGAGUGGAUUAUGGUUUAUAUAAAAACGAAAUUCUUUCUCGAGGUUGUCAAAAUUUCAAGGAUGAGAAAUUUGUCAGUAAUGAAUACAUUUUGGAAUGCUGAUUGGAAAGUUUCCAGUCAUUCUGCUAUUUAAUGCUUCCUCAUUAAUCACUGGCACUGUGUAUUUUAAGCCACUUACGAAUUUGUUUAAAUGAUACUCUUUCGGUAGACCAUAUGAGAAUUGAGCGUUUAAGCAUUGCUAUAGGAACACUGUGUGGAGGCACGACUAUAAAGGAACUGCCACAGGUUAAAGAAGCUCUCCAAAUGGACAAAAUUCAUUACCCUUGACUUCUACUACUUGGGACUUUGAGCCAAAUAUUUUUAGAGUUGUUGUCAUUUUCCACAGCAGUAAUCACUUGGUGGCACUCUUCCUUUUAAACCAGUUUAACUCAUUUGCAUGAGUGCAAAUGAAACCUCUGUUAUGUAGUUCACUGUAAGGAAACUUUAGAAAAUUAUGUCCUCAUGUGGGACUAAAUCACACAGAACGGUCUGACAUUUUGGAACUAGCUAUUAUGCCCUCCAAACUAUUGUUUGCUUAUGACAUAAUUUCAUCUGGUAACUUUUUAGUGCACACAUUUUCCUGUUGAUUUCAUUCUUGAAGGAUGAAAUGAUUGAAUAUUUGGGCUAAGGAAAGUGACUCCUUAAGAUAGAAGAAGAUCCUGAGACUUGUGUCUCUUUCUGGCCUGGUCAAUAACAUAAAAAGAAAUAGAUUCAGCUCCAAGCUCAUUGAAGCAUAUUGUUUAUGAGUUUGGGAGAGAGUAGGUAAUAAAAGAGAUAAGAGAUAUUUUAAAUCA